rnacentral:rRNA from 1 species
UACGUAGGGUGCGAGCGUUAAUCGGAAUUACUGGGCGUAAAGCGUGCGCAGGCGGUUUUGUAAGUCUGUCGUGAAAUCCCCGGGCUUAACCUGGGAAUUGCGAUGGAGACUGCAAGGCUAGAAUCUGGCAGAGGGGGGUAGAAUUCCACGUGUGAGCAGUGAAAUGCGUAGAGAUGUGGAGGAACACCGAUGGCGAAGGCAGCCCCCUGGGCCAAGAUUGGACGCUCAUGCACGAAAGCGUGGGGAGCAACAGG